UCCGGGCGGAAGUGGACCACACUCUCAUUGGCUGCGGGACGUCUGUCUGUGGGAGCGGGCCUUUUGGAGGAGACCGGAAGUGGAGGCACUGAGAGGUCACCAGAAAUGGAGAGAAAAGUAAGCAGAAUCUGUCUUGCUUCUAAACCUGAUAUAAUUCAUUUUCUACAAGUGGCUUGGGAGAAAACAUUAGGAUCUGGUUUUGUUAUUACACUUACUGAUGGUCAGUCAGCAUGGACCGGGACAGUUUCUGAGUCAGAGAUUUCCCAAGAAGCCGAUGACAUGGCAUUGGAAAAAGAGAAAUAUGUUGAUGAACUGAGAAAAGCAAUGGUAUCAGGAGGAAGACCAACUGAUGCAUACAAAUUUGAUUUUUCUAGAGAGUCUUGUCAUUUCUCCUUUGAGAAAAACCUGAAAGAUGUUUCAUUCAGACUUGGUUCCUUCAGUCUAGAGAAAGUUGCAAGUCCAGCUGAGGUCAUUAGAAAACUUAUUUGUGAUUGCCUGGACACCAUCACAGAAAACCAAGCCAAGAAUGAGCACCUGCAGAAGGAAAAUGAAAGGCUUUUGAGAGAUUGGAAUGAUGUUCAAGGACGAUUUGAAAAAUGUGUCAGUGCUAAGGAAGCUUUGGAGACUGAUCUUUAUAAACGGUUUAUUCUGGUGCUGAAUGAGAAGAAAGCGAAGAUUAGAAACUUACAUAAGUUGUUAAGUGAAGUUCAAGAACUAGAAAAGAACAUUGAGCAUGAAAGGGAAACCACAACACAUUCUGAAAUGACUGCUGGCAGGGAUGCAAUCUAUGAUGAAAGCACUGAUGAGGAGAGUGAAAACUUGCCUGAUCGCUCUGCGUUAGCUCCAACUGCUUUAAGAGGAGAUGAUUCCCUUGUUUCAAGUCCUGAUGUAGCGGAUAUUGCACCAAGUAGAAAGAGGCGGCAGCGGAUGCAGAAGAAUCUUGGGACAGAACCUAAAAUGGCUUCUCAGGUACCUGGGCCUCAAGAAGAGGAGAAGUUUGAUCCUCCAUUACCUGAGACGUCAAAAAAGGAGCACAGCUCAGCUGAAAACAUGUCUUUAGAAACUCUAAGAAACAGUAGUUCAGAAGACCUCUUUGAUGAGAUUUAACUGUCUCAAAAGGAAAUAUGCCCCAGCAUAGCAGAGGUAUGACCAUCUGUCUUAUCUAUUUCCAGAUCCUACAACAGGGCUAGAUUCACAAAGGCUUUUGGAUACUUUUGUGCUAACACCCUCCUUAGUCCAUACCUGUGACAACAAAUACCAUCAGAUCAUGGAAAAUCAAACAGAGUAUCUAAGGUCUAAUUCUUCAGGACUCUGAGUGUGGCUUCUCUUCCUCCCUUGAAUACUGAUAGUGCCCCUGGGGCAGGAGAGUAAGACCAGAAAUCCCAUUUUUCUUUUUCUUCCUUCUGCUCACCAUGCCUUGAGUCCCUCGGGGCUGCUUCCAUCCAGAUGUGGCCCGUUGCUAAUUUGUCUAUCUACAGGGUGAGUGGUUUGUGGUUCAUUCAUGCAGAGGAACCCAAAGGCUCUUCGUGUGCUCUUACAUGCCUGACUACAUAGCAUGCCCCCUUAAGAGUAUUGACUUGGUUUGUAGUUAUUUAUCUCAAAUGUCUUUGUCUCUCCUCACCAAAUAAGAUAAUAAACUACUUGAAAUAGCUGA